rnacentral:lncRNA from 1 species
GUUGUUUCAAGGUUUUGUGUAGAGUCUAUAGGUGGGAUUGGAGUGAUAGGAACUCCCCUUGGAUUAAUUGGCUUCUCUGCUUCUUUGUAGGUGGAUUGCUCAGGUAAUGACCUGGAGCAGUUACACAUCAAAGUGACUUCACUGUGCAGUCGGAUAGAGCAGAUUCAGUGUUACAGUGCUAAAGAUCGCCUGGCUCAGUCAGACAUGGCCAAACGUGUAGCCAACCUGCUGCGCGUGGUGCUGAGUCUGCAUCAUCCUCCUGAUAGAACCUCCGACUCAACACCAGACCCUCAGCGAGUCCCUUUGCGCC